GAUCUUAAAUAUUUACGGCUUUUACCUUUCUCUCUCCUCUAACAAACCCCAACGACCUGAAAACCGUCGCCACCAAAAUACCCAAAAUACCCCCACGACAAAAAAUCGAGACCUGCGUCUCUGACCUCUGGACAGAAAGAACCACUCUCUUUCUCUUUCUCUUUCUCUUUCUAUCAUUAUCAUCUCUCUGCAACACAAAGAAGAAAGAAAGAAAGCAAGAGAAUUUCUGCAAAAAAAUAAAUAAAUUUGAAAUUAAUAAUGCUGAUGGAAAUUUCUCUCUCUACACGUCGAUUCCGUGCUGUCAUGGCUUCUUCAUCAAUUACUUCUCUCAUUCUCUCUUCUUUAACAUUUAUUACAAUUUCCACUUUCAUACUCCACCCUUCUUCUCGUGUCUUGUCUUCUCUCUUCCUAGUUUUACUAGGCUCGUCAGCCAAUGCUCUAAUGCCCGUUUCAUAUUUCCUUGUUUUUAGGGUUACUUCGGCAUUAUCUCCUUGUUUCUAUUUCAACACUCUCCCUGUUCUCCGUCCGCUUGUUUUGAGUUGAAGAACAAGUUUAGGUGGGUUUUGAGUUUUUUUGAAUAAUAAUGGAUGGGUAUAGGCAUUUGGUUGAUAUGGCUAUUUCAACACUCUCCCAUUCCUCCGCCUGGUUGUUUUGAGUUGAAGAACAAGCUUAGGUGGGUAAGGUGAUGUUUUAAGUUUUUUUUGAAAAAUAAUAAUGGAUGGGCAUUAGCAUUCUGUUGAUAUGCCUAUUUCAAAAGCUUAAGUAACCCAUUUGUUUUGAGUUGAAGAACUGGCUUAGGUAACCUUAUAUAUAUGAUUAAUGAAAGUCUCUUACUUUAUAUGUAUUGAUGUC